rnacentral:rRNA from 1 species
GAUGAACGCUGACAGAAUGCUUAACACAUGCAAGUCAACUUGAAUUUGGGUUUUUAACUUAGGUUUGGGUGGCGGACGGGUGAGUAACGCGUAAAGAACUUGCCUCACAGCUAGGGACAACAUUUGGAAACGAAUGCUAAUACCUAAUAUUAUGAUAAUAGGGCAUCCUAUAAUUAUGAAAGCUAUAAGCGCUGUGAGAGAGCUUUGCGUCCCAUUAGCUAGUUGGAGAGGUAACGGCUCACCAAGGCGAUGAUGGGUAGCCGGCCUGAGAGGGUGAUCGGCCACAAGGGGACUGAGACACGGCCCUUACUCCUACGGGAGGCAGCAGUGGGGAAUAUUGGACAAUGGACCGAGAGUCUGAUCCAGCAAUUCUGUGUGCACGAUGAAGUUUUUCGGAAUGUAAAGUGCUUUCAGUUGGGAAGAAAAAAAUGACGGUACCAACAGAAGAAGUGACGGCUAAAUACGUGCCAGCAGCCGCGGUAAUACGUAUGUCACGAGCGUUAUCCGGAUUUAUUGGGCGUAAAGCGCGUCUAGGUGGUUAUAUAAGUCUGAUGUGAAAAUGCAGGGCUCAACUCUGUAUUGCGUUGGAAACUGUAUAACUAGAGUACUGGAGAGGUAAGCGGAACUACAAGUGUAGAGGUGAAAUUCGUAGAUAUUUGUAGGAAUGCCGAUGGGGAAGCCAGCUUACUGGACAGAUACUGACGCUAAAGCGCGAAAGCGUGGGUAGCAAACAGG